UACGUAGGGUGCAAGCGUUAAUCGGAAUUACUGGGCGUAAAGCGUGCGCAGGCGGCUUUGCAAGACAGAUGUGAAAUCCCCGGGCUCAACCUGGGACCUGCAUUUGUGACUGCAUCGCUAGAGUACGGUAGAGGGGGAUGGAAUUCCGCGUGUAGCAGUGAAAUGCGUAGAUAUGCGGAGGAACACCGAUGGCGAAGGCAAUCCCCUGGACCUGUACUGACGCUCAUGCACGAAAGCGUGGGGAGCAAACAGG
rnacentral:rRNA from 1 species